rnacentral:rRNA from 1 species
UACGAAGGGGACUAGCGUUGUUCGGAAUCACUGGGCGUAAAGCGCACGUAGGCGGAUUUGUAAGUCAGGGGUGAAAUCCCGGGGCUCAACCUCGGAACUGCCUUUGAUACUGCGAGUCUUGAGUCCGAUAGAGGUGGGUGGAAUUCCCUAGUGUAGAGGUGAAAUUCGUAGAUAUUAGGAAGAACACCGGUGGCGAAGGCGGCUCACUGGCUCGUAACUGACGCUCAUGCACGACAGCGUGGGGAUCAAACAGG